UAGAACCUUCACUGUCGCAGGGCCUC
rnacentral:piRNA from 1 species